AAAUCCAAUCGUCUUGCAGAAGCUGAGAAUGUGCAGAGAAAGAUCCUGCAUAUUGUAGAACUAUCACAGGGAUGGAAAUCUAUGGACACUGUAAUUGCAGCUGAAAGGCUGGCUCUGACUCUACAGUCAGCUGGCAGCUUAAAGGAAGCACAAGAACUUCUGGAAAGGUGUCUUGACACGCGGAAAACAAUCCUUCCUGAAGAUCACAUUCAGAUUGGUGCGAACAUGCUUCACAUUGCUAGGGUGGCAAUACUGAAAGCGAAUCGACUAAGAAAGAUUCACAUUGCUGAAGCAUUUGCUGAGCUUGAUAGGGCAAGAGAUCUUUUGUACAAUUCAACAAGGAUAGCACGGCAAGUUUUAAACAAAUUGAGAAACCAAAAAGGCAGCAGGCAAAAGAGUAGGGCACCUGAAGAAACCAGAAGGGAGGGGCGUGCAGCAUUGAUCAUACUGUUGCAAUCACUUGAUACUCUUGGGCUUUUGGAGAUCACAAAACAAGAGCUACAGGAAUCAAUGGAAGAGCAUCCUGAUCCACCUUCGUUUGGGACUAAAAGUGCAUUUUUCCAAUGCAUUUCUGCUUACAAAGAGUUUGAAUCUGACAGGUUAAUUUCUGAUUCCCCUGAAGUAAAGGUUGAGUAUCUAUCAUGCUUGAAGCGUCUUUCAAGCUUGAUUAGUAAUGGUGAGGUCAAAGAGAUAGAAGUCUCGAGAAAAGCUACAUUGCAAGAGCUGAAUGAUGAAAUCAAGCGUGUUGAAGGUGAAAUUUCUCGUUACAGGAAACAUAAAUCCAAAGCAGGAGCUUGACUAAUGGUUCAGGCUAAAAUCAAGCAACACUUCUAAAAAUAAUGGUGCUGAGUAUACGCUAAUAACGAAUUAUUUGUGUUUUUUUUUUUUUUUUAACCUUGAUUUAUGUACUUUCUCAUAUCUCUUUUUGCAGCCGNNNNNNNNNNNAUUUCUUAGUUAACAUCUCACUGUUAAUAAGGGUGUCCACUGUCCAGGACUUCGCUUGAGAAGUUCUGGCUUGUAUCAAUAAGCAGGCGGACCUGAACGUGUUUCAACUCAAAUGAGAAAGGCUAUGCAGAAUUA
rnacentral:misc_RNA from 1 species